AAUAAGGUUGCUGCGUCAACCAACAUUAUUGUAAAAACAGUCUAUCUCGAGAGUUUAAAAGGAGAGCUUCGUCACAAAAUAAAUCCUUUUCCUCUCUUAAUUAUAGUUCACCGUCGCAUCGCGAGUUUUUAUAUAGUUUGGUAUUUUUCCGCUGACAUACCUGAACGGAUGAUGCGAUCUUGGUACGAUCUUGAACAACAUUCGAAGGUGGAUAAAAAUAGUAUACCGGUAGGAUAAAAUGCAUCGAUGAACAAAUAAAUGAAGUUAUCUUUAAACGGUAUAGACUCGCCCAAGAAUAACAUACUUCAUGAAUUACAUUACCAUUCCAACGCCAAGCACCCGCUUGACGUGUAUUUCAGACCGAGAAGUGAUACGAUAUAUCUAUAUCCAUGCACCUAUCUUCGUCGUAGCUUUACGUACGCAAUGAUGACGCAAUGCGGAAACUGUUUCGACUGCGCAUCGAACGUUCUCACAAGAAUUGCCCGAUGGUACAAACAGUGCCUUCAUAGCAGAAAUAUCGACGUUUGAAUUUGAAGUAUUAUCCGGCGUAGAGAUUGCAUUUUAUAGAUUAAACAUUUCAUAUUACUGUAGAAUACAGACAAAAUACAAUUGUAAUAUAGAUUUACACGUAUAACAGCUUAAGCGUUGUAUGCAUGCAGUGAAGAGGAACUGAGCUUAAACUUCAUUGUAAGCAAUAAUAAAUCUCGCUUAUUUUCUUUUA